UCGCCUUACGGCUCAGUAACACGUGGACAACCUAACCUACAGAAGGGGAUAACCCCGGGAAACUGGGGGUAAUACCCUAUAGACUAUGGAUGCUGGAAUGCUCUGUAGCCGAAAGGUCCGCCGCUGUAGGAUGGGUCUGCGGCCGAUUAGGUUGUUGUUGGGGUAACGGCCCAACAAGCCUGUAAUCGGUACGGGUUGUGGGAGCAAGAGCCCGGAGAUGGGUUCUGAGACACGAAUCCAGGCCCUACGGGGCGCAGCAGGCGCGAAAACUUUACAAUGCGGGAAACCGUGAUAAGGGAACUCUGAGUGCCCGUAAAAUCGGGCUGUCCACCAGUUUAAAUAACUGGUGAAGAAAGGGCCGGGCAAGACCGGUGCCAGCCGCCGCGGUAAUACCGGCGGCUCGAGUGGUGGCCACUAUUACUGGGCUUAAAGCGUUCGUAGCUGGUUUGUUAAGUCUCUGGGGAAAUCUUCCGGCUUAACCGGAAGGCGUCUCAGGGAUACUGGCAGACUAGGGACCGGAAGAGGUGAGAGGUACUCCAGGGGUAGGAGUGAAAUCCUGUAAUCCUUGGGGGACCACCUGUGGCGAAGGCGUCUCACCAGAACGGCUCCGACAGUGAGGGACGAAAGCUGGGGGAGCAAACCGGAUUAGAUACCCGGGUAGUCCCAGCCGUAAACGAUGUGCAUUAGGUGUAUCGGUGACCACGAGUCA
rnacentral:rRNA from 1 species